GGUUUUUUGCAGCGUGCAUGAGUUUCAGUGGCCUUGUUAUUUAAAAAUUAAAUACAAGGAGUAAAACUUUCAAAAAUAAAAUUGAAAAAUAAAAAUAAAAUACAAAGCCCAAAGCUUUCCCAACGUUAUUCAACGGUUACUGGGCGAGUGGCUUCCCAAUAGUGUCUGCCUGACUCACCCUCAUAGCUGUGCCUCCGCACAGAGCCAGCUCUGCAGUGGAACCUGGGGGUCCUAGCCAGGUAUGGCUCUCCACUGUAUGACUGUCCUGUCGCCUGUUAACCAGAGUCCAGCCUGUCUCUGACUCGUCACUAGAAAACACACCAGUGAAGACAGGGUCUCUGCAGGGCGACUGUGUGCCCUCUAGACAAAUCCUGUUUGUGUUGGUUGGAAGUGUUUACUUUUUGUGGUGGUUUAAAUCUUUUUGAUUGUUAAGCAUGUUCGUUCAGGUAUAGAUGGAUUUCAUUCACUCACUGUUCAGCGAGGUUAACCUGAAUUACGUUGUCUUGCUUUUGAAGAUCUCUCGUUCUCAAUCAUACUUUGUGCUGUUUAUGUAUCUGUGGUUUGCUGAGACAGAUUAGUGUCAGGGGAGCCAUGAGGGUUUGCAUUCGCCUUCCCAGAUCUCAUCACCCAAAUCUUAAUGCUAAUCUUAGCUCCUUUUAUUUAUUGGUUUUUUUUCUGGCAUAAAAAGUAAAGUCUUUUAAUUGAAUCAUGCCACCUAUAUGCCUAUGUUAUUAAUCCUGUGUGUUUAAAAAAAACAGUAGCUCGCCUUGGGUCGUGGUGUGGAGGAUGGGUGCUUCCUAUCUGCUUCCAGUUUCACACGAGCUCCAGGAAGGGGCAGUGGGACUGGAGCAUGGAGCAGGUUUUGGAAUGUAAUUUAGGACUUUUAAAAAAAGAUUCGCAGCUUCUGAUAAAUUUCUGUGAGACUUAAUCUAAUCGUGUCUGGCUCCAGUCCUCUUCCCUGUGAGCCAUUCUCUGUUGGCUCUCCUCUCUCCCGCCAUCUUGUCCUUCCCUCUGUUUCUUCAUGACAAGCAUACAGACUUGAACACCCCCAGGUGUCCUCAAGAACUGUGAAGUCCAUGGUCAUCUAAAUCUACCAAAAAGAGAAGUCACCCUCCAUGUCUAAAAAACUGUCGCUUCUCCUCGGAAACUUGAGACUCCACCAGCUUCCAGAUAUACAGUAGCUGUUUUCUUUAGUCUUUGAUGGAAAUCUUCUAAAGGAACGGCCCUCGCCGGGCUCCAGAGGUCAAGGCCAGUGGGGUUUUCUUUUUUUAAUUGGUUGUUGAGAAGUUUCAGAAGUCCAUUUUCCAGCUGUGAUCAUUUCAGACACAUCUGCACAUAACUCACACAUUCAAUAAAGCAUUUUCAAGAUUGUUGGCCACUCGAAUUUCUUUGGUGUUGAAUUAACCUGACCAUUACUCAGAGAAUUUUUUACAUUCUCUAACACAGUAUUUUUUGCUUUUUGUGCUAAACAUAAAGAUACUGGUUUUGUGGGGAUGUAAAACUUUGGAUGUGAGGAAGAAAAACUGCCAAUUAUGUACUUUCCCUUUUCUGGGAAACGUAAGAUCCUCCAUUUUCAGCAUGGUUCUAGGGAACAGCUGUAAGUCUCUUCAGGGCAGUUUAACUUAGAAAAUGAAGUUAACAUUUCAGAAGGCCUAGUGUUGGUAAGAUUCCAUCUCAUGUAGAAAAUUGUAUAUUAAUUAUUUUUAUCAGAUAUUUUACAAAUACCUCACCUCAUCCUGUAUGUAACCUAUAAUAAUGUAUUAUUUUAGGGUAGAAAGACACAGAUUAUCAAUAUAAAAUAUAUAUUAAGCCCUUC
rnacentral:lncRNA from 1 species